rnacentral:rRNA from 1 species
AGUGAACGCUGGCGGUAGGCCUAACACAUGCAAGUCGAACGGCAGCACAGUAAGAGCUUGCUCUUACGGGUGGCGAGUGGCGGACGGGUGAGGAAUACAUCGGAAUCUACUUUUUCGUGGGGGAUAACGUAGGGAAACUUACGCUAAUACCGCAUACGACCUACGGGUGAAAGCAGGGGAUCUUCGGACCUUGCGCGGAUGAAUGAGCCGCUGUCGGAUUAGCUAGUUGGCGGGGUAAAGGCCCACCCAGGCGACGAUCCGUAGCUGGUCUGAGAGGAUGGUCGGCCACACUGGAAGUGAGACACGGUCCAGACUCCUACGGGAGGCAGCAGUGGGGAAUAGUGGACAAUGGGCGCAAGCCUGAUCCAGCCAGACCGCGUGAGUGAAGAAGGCCUUCGGGUUGUAAAGCCCUUUUGUUGGGAAAGAAAAGCAGCAGGUUAAUACCCCGCUGUUCUGACGGUACCCAAAGAAGAAGCACCGGCUAACUUCGUG